CGCGUAGGCGGGAUGGCAAGUCGGUCGUGAAAUCCCUCAGCUCAACUGAGGAACGUCGAUCGAAACUGCCGUUCUUGAGGAUUGCAGAGGAGACUGGAAUUCCCGGUGUAGCGGUGAAAUGUGUAGAGAUCGGGAGGAACACCGGUGGCGAAGGCGGGUCUCUGGGCAAUUCCUGACGCUGAGGCGCGAAAGCGUGGGAGCAAACG
rnacentral:rRNA from 1 species